rnacentral:rRNA from 1 species
UACGAAGGGGGCUAGCGUUGCUCGGAAUUACUGGGCGUAAAGCGCACGUAGGCGGCUUCUUAAGUCGGUGGUGAAAUCCUGGAGCUCAACUCCAGAACUGCCUUCGAUACUGGGAGCUCGAGUCCGGGAGAGGUGAGUGGAACUGCGAGUGUAGAGGUGAAAUUCGUAGAUAUUCGCAAGAACACCAGUGGCGAAGGCGGCUCACUGGCCCGGUACUGACGCUGAGGUGCGAAAGCGUGGGGAGCAAACAGGGAUUAAGAA